GGUGGGGUGACCGAGUGGUUUAAGGUAGCAGUCUUGAAAACUGCCGUACCGGAAACGGUACCGUGAGUUCGAAUCUCACCCCCACCG
rnacentral:tRNA from 1 species